UACAGAGGUCCCGAGCGUUGUUCGGAUUCAUUGGGCGUAAAGGGUGCGUAGGCGGUCUGCUAAGUUUUGAUGUGAAAUCCCGGGGGCUCAACCCUGGAAUGGCAUUGAAUACUGGCGGACUAGAGUACCGGAGAGGAAACUGGAAUUACGGUGUAGCAGUGAAAUGCGUAGAGAUCGUAAGGAAGACCAGUGGCGAAGCGAGUUUCUGGACGGUAACUGAC
rnacentral:rRNA from 1 species